UACGUAGGGCGCAAGCGUUAUCCGGAAUUAUUGGGCGUAAAGAGCUCGUAGGCGGUUUGUCGCGUCUGCCGUGAAAAGUCCGGGGGCUCAACUCCGAUCUGCGGUGGGUACGGGCAGACUAGAGUGAUGUAGGGGAGACUGGAAUUCCUGGUGUAGCGGUGAAAUGCGCAGAUAUCAGGAGGAACACCGAUGGCGAAGGCAGGUCUCUGGGCAUUAACUGACGCUGAGGAGCGAAAGCAUGGGAGCAAACAAG
rnacentral:rRNA from 1 species